CAGUAGCCGCGGUAAUACGAAGGGUGCAAGCGUUAAUCGGAAUUACUGGGCGUAAAGCGUGCGUAGGCGGUGAGUUAAGUCUGCUGUGAAAUCCCCGGGCUCAACCUGGGAAUGGCAGUGGAUACUGGCUCACUAGAGUGUGGUAGAGGAUAGUGGAAUUUCCGGUGUAGCAGUGAAAUGCGUAGAGAUCGGAAGGAACAUCUGUGGCGAAGGCGACUAUCUGGGCCAACACUGACACUGAGGCACGAAAGCGUGGGGAGCAAACAGGAUUAGAUACCCCUGUAGUCCCUGUCUCUUAUAC
rnacentral:rRNA from 1 species